GCCGCUUUGCUGGAGCAUCCUGGUACUCACUUUCGCAGACGGUGCGGGUGAAGUGGACAAGUCCGAGCGCCUGGACCGCGCCUCACCCCGCCACCCCAGUUUACAGAGGGAUUUUUGGUGCGGGCUUCACUUUUGGGGAGCCCAGCUUGACAACUUUUUUUCUUCAGGAAUCCCUGAAGGCCCCCAGUGUCCCACAGAAAUCCUCUUCUUCACUAAGGUCUUCAGCAUUUAUUGCCUAUCUUAAGUACCUGUUUGG